CUAAAUGGGUGGUAAAUUUCACCUAAUGCCAAAUAUAAGCGAGAGACCGAUAGCGAACAAGUACCGUGAGGGAAAGAUGAAAAGAACUUUGAAAAGAGAGCUAAAUAGUACGUGAAAUUGUUGAAAGGGAAACGAUUGAAGUCAGUCAUGCCGGUGAGAAUCAACUUUGGGGAAGGGGGAUUUUUUUGAACCUAACUUUGAAGUGCACUUCUUCGCUUGGCAGGUUAGCGUCGAUUUUGAACGUCAUAAAAUGAUUGGGGGAAGGUAGCUCUUUUGGGAGUGUUAUAGCCCUUAAUUAAUGUGAUAUUUGGGAUCGAGGAUUGCAACGGAUACCUUUUUAGGCUAGCCGCCUGGCCUCUGAUUCGAUGUUGGGUUAUAGACAGCACGCUGACUAUGAUCUGAUUAUUGGUCAAAAGGUUAGAGCGAGCAUAAAUUCGUUAAGGACGCUGACGUAAUGGCUUUAAACGACCCGUCUUGAAACACGGACCAAGGAG
rnacentral:rRNA from 1 species